rnacentral:tRNA from 4 species
CCACGGAUAGCUCAGUUGGGUAGAGCAUCAGAUCGAGAAUCUGACUGUCGAAGGUUCAAAUCCUUCUCCAUUGGCCU